AAUUUAAUAAUUUAUAAUUAAAAUAUCAAAUUGCAAAUUUGAAAAAGUUUAAACUUAAAUUU
rnacentral:tRNA from 1 species